ACAGAUCUGAAGAGGCCGAGAAUAUUGGAUAUGUCAUUCCUACUACAGUUGUGUCUCAUUUUCUGGAUGACUAUGAGAGGAACGGGAAGUAUACAGGUUUCCCUUGCCUGGGUGUAUUGUUGCAAAAGUUGGAGAAUCCAGCAUUACGGGCGUGUUUAAAAGUAGAGUCUAUUGAGGGUGUACUGGUACGAAGAGUUGAACCCACUUCUGAUGCACAUAAUGUAUUAAAGGAGGGGGACGUGAUUGUAAGCUUUGAUGAUGUUCAUGUAGGGUGUGAAGGAACAGUACCUUUCCGAUCAAAUGAGCGCA